rnacentral:rRNA from 1 species
GACGAACGCUGGCGGCGUGCUUAACACAUGCAAGUCGAACGGAAAGGCCCUGCUUUUGUGGGGUGCUCGAGUGGCGAACGGGUGAGUAACACGUGAGUAACCUGCCCUUGACUUUGGGAUAACUUCAGGAAACUGGGGCUAAUACCGGAUAGGAGCUCCUGCUGCAUGGUGGGGGUUGGAAAGUUUCGGCGGUUGGGGAUGGACUCGCGGCUUAUCAGCUUGUUGGUGGGGUAGUGGCUUACCAAGGCUUUGACGGGUAGCCGGCCUGGGAGGGUGACCGGCGACAUUGGGACUGAGAUACGGCCCAGACUCCUACGGGAGGCAGCAGUGGCGAAUAUUGCACAAUGGGCGGAAGCCUGAUGCAGCAACGCCGCGUGCGGGAUGACGGCCUUCGGGUUGUAAACCGCUUUCGCCUGUGACGAAGCGGGAGUGACGGUAAUGGGUAAAGAAGCACCGGCUAACUACGUG